UGAUUUAUGGCUCAGUGGUAGAGCAUCGGUCAUGGCACGACCGAAGAUAAAGGGUUCAAGUCCCGAUA
rnacentral:tRNA from 1 species